CUUUUGGCUUGCUGUACAUACUGCUGCCCGCAGGUUGGCUAGGUCACUCUCUACCACAAUCUUACCUGACCGACUGCUGACAAACGCUGUGCUGAGUAGCUGAAUGCCUACACCACCUGCUGGUCAAAAAUAGUUACUGCAUCUGGAGUAGAAAUCAGGUGAUGCCUCCCUCACCAAGCCUGCUGCAAAGAUGAACAGAGUUGUCAAAUGACCUGGAUCUUUGGCAUCUGUUAAGUUUCAUCAUGGGCUUUCACAGUGACCCUCCUUGGAGGCACUCUAAGUGCUGUCCUUAUCCUUGCAUCCUUAGAUGCAAGUUAACAUUGUCAAUUUCCCAAGCCAUGGCAGCACUUAAGGGUGCUCCUCUUCUAGGAGGGAAUGAUAGACUAGGAGUUAGACAGCUUCACUGAUAGGAAAACAGACAGGCCAUGACUAGAUAAAACAGAUAGUAAAACCCCAAGACAGAUGAUGUCUUCCUCAUCCCCCUGAUGUGAACAAAGUAUCUUUGCCGCUCAAAGCAAAGGCAUGGUGGUUUUGUUUUGUUUUUUUGUUUGUUUGUUUUUUUUACCUACUAGCACCACCUUCCCCAUGUGAAUUGAUUUUACAUGUUCACAGCCAGAUCUGGACAUGUUUACCUCAAACUUGUGGAUUUUAUCAACCUCACUGCUUUCAUUCAUGCUAAUCAACCCUAAAAUGGGUGAGGAAGACACCCUGAGAGCCUCAAAAUUCCCAUCCUUUUAGGAGACCCCAAGCUUCAGCUGGCUUCCAGAGGAACUUGUCUGCUUUGAAGAGGGUCUUCUUCCUUGUAUUUUGCUGUCUGUUAUUCCUUACCCAUAAUGCAAAACUUUUCUUCACCUGGAUAAAAGGGAAGAAAAAGAAAAAAGAAGAGAAAAAAGAAUGAGAGAAUUUAAAAAGCUGAAAAGAAACCAUGGGUCAUUUCCAAGGAGCUCUUAAGCCCUAAAGGGUAUGGGAUUCAAAACACCUAUUCCCAAGUAUCAUGACAUUUGUCCUGGUAGGCAGAGAUCCUACCAUGAAAGCUGCUACACUGUCAGGUGCUGGCUGCUAUCACUUGUUGCUAUGUGUUCUUGCCACUUAAAGUUACUUGAAAUUGAGGGAUUAUAAGAGGUAAAAAGACCCGGCGCUACAAGGGGUUAAAACCCAGAGAAAUAAGCCUCCAUUAAGAGGCCAGAAUUAUGUCACAAGGUUUCUAUAGGGUAAAAAAAGAGUCUCAACUUUGGAUUUGGAGUUAUAACCCUCAACAUAUACCAGUUCAGUCUCUAGAACAUUGAUAGAGAAAGGCCCAGGAAUGACAACAUUGGAAGAGAUUGUGGUGACUUAUCUAUAAGCUCCAUCUAGGUAAAGUAAUCAAUCAAUUUAAAUACCAUAAUAACAACAGUAAAAGAGGAAUUAAAAUUUAUAUUGAACUUAAAAUUUGCCUAUCUUAAACUAUGUCUUUGAGGAAGUAUUUAAAAUUGGGUAGUGUGUCCCUCAUCUUUAUUUUUUUUUCAACCUUUAUAGCAAAGUUGGGAACUAUGAGAGGUUUAGAGUAAUGGGUUUCCAAAGACUUUACUGGCCUAUAGUGUUGCAUGUUCUGUUGGUUUUAUCUAGCCAGUUUCUUUCAGUUACACUAUGUUGUUGACCAUAUUCAUCCCUGGUUCCCACUCCCUUCAUUUGGUACCCUUGCUUCCCCUCUCCCAUUACUCUCUUCCCUAUGGUUGU